GCAAAUGCAAAACCAGUAAAAUUUUUCCAAUAUUGCGAGCUAGUUCGAAGUCACCAUGUGCGGAUCCGGGGGACUUUAAUAUGUAUAAAAUUUUAUAGGAGCUCCCGCGAAAGGACAGGGCAGCGAAGGGCAAGAUAUGUAGCGUAAAAAAUUUAAGGGGUAACAUGUGCUGAGUCAGUCAUUCGGGAAGAGCAAAACUAUCCGUGACUGGUGUAUUUUUCUCUGCCCCCGACAUAUGAACGGUCCUCUAGAUUGAUGAAAGUUUUUUUUCACCAACCCAACCCGAGUUUUCCUUUCUAUCUUUUUCCUUAUUUCUUUUUCUGUAUUUUUUAUUUCCCAUUUCUUUUCUUGCCACAACAACAACUUUCCUUCAAAUACUUUCAACACCCCACACUUCACACAAUAUGAAAAGACCUAGUAAAAAUAUAUACUUGUUUAUUCCCAUGUUUAUUUCCUAUCGCUGUGUAAGGGUGCUGAUUUAAAACCUUUUAAAAAAUAUGAAGGAUUUAAAAAUGAACGAUUCUUGACCAUUCAAAGAAAGGAAAAAUUGGAUAUUAAAUAUAUAAAAGAUGUUCUUUAAACGCUGUUAUUGAGUGUUUAGGAAUUUAGAUAUUCAAAAAGUAUUAUUCCUACAUCGGAUAUUUGAAAAAUUUAAUAUACAUGAAAUGUUAUGCGUUGAAUAUGUGGUCGAAAAUUCACGCCGUCACACUUUGCUCUCAUAUUUUGCCCGUUUCGAUGGAAUAAAGUGACUAAAGCAAAUACUACCUCUUAAGGGAAAUAAGUGUUCAUGAACUGGAAUAUGUUUAUUGGCGUUUAAAAUUGCCUCUGGUUUAACAAUCCCUUUUAAUUAGCCUUAAGAUACGCAGGGAUUUACUCCUAUUUCACAUUCCUUUGGUUGCCACAGGGUAUAAGCUGGGAUCACAUGUUGGCACAGGUCAAGUUUGGAGUCAAGAUAAUCCAGCAGAAAACACAGAAAGGGCAAAAACUCCAAGAUAAACUUGACUUAGGAAAAUCAAACAGGAAGUAACACAAAGGGAAUUAGGAGGGAACUGGACAAACGACUGAGCGAAAUGGGGGAAAUAGAGAUUAAUGAGUAGUGGAACAACCUAGAGGAAACUGUCAUGAUAACAGCUAGAAAGAUUGUGGGAACAGAGCGAUAAUGGAAGAAACCGGGAUGGUUUGAAGAGGAAUGUGGAAAUGUUAUAGAAUUAACAAAUCGAGCUUAUCGUAACUACAUUGCAAAACAAACCAGGGAAAGGCGAAGGAUCUUUGAAAAUAACCGCAGAAGAAUGGACAAAGUAUGUAAAAAGAAACACAGACUAUGAAUAUAACCUAAUCUUCCAAAUGAAAAAUGAUUUUGAAGCGAAUAAAUAUCUAAAGAAACGAGAUGAGGUUACUAACCAAACAUUACCCUCUGCAGAAAAGAAUCGGUUCAAAUAAUAAGCGAUCAAGAAGAAAUUAAGAGGACAUGAUGAAACAUUGAUGAAAUGGAACAAGGACACCUAAUUGAAAGGCAGCAAGCGGAAGGCAACCUGAUUGUGGACUCUCCCACAAUAGAAAAAAUCGAGAAAACCCUGGUGGGAACGCAGAACAAUAAGAUGAAUUGAUGUCAGCUGAAAUUUUUAAAUACCCAACUAUUCAGUCAGUUAUACUCAUUAAUCAUGCAAAAAUAUAUACUUGGUGUACUUAGAAUAUUCUGGAAACCAUUCCGCUUAAUGAUUUAACCUGCUGUGUCAUUUUAUAAUAAAAUAAAGAUAUUUCAAUUCGA